UACGUAGGGUGCGAGCGUUGUUCGGAUUUACUGGGCGUAAAGGGCGCGUAGGCGGCCACUGCAAGUCAGUUGUGAAAUCUCCGGGCUUAACCCGGAAAGGUCAACUGAUACUGCAGGGCUAGAGUGCAGAAGGGGCAACUGGAAUUCUCGGUGUAGCGGUGAAAUGCGUAGAUAUCGAGAGGAACACCUGCGGCGAAGGCGGGUUGCUGGGCUGACACUGACGCUGAUGUGCGAAAGCCAGGGGAGCGAACGGG
rnacentral:rRNA from 1 species